CUGAAUGAUAGUCGGGCUGAAGACUCUACUUGACUAGCUGAGAGGAGGUGCAUGGCCGUCGUCAGUUCGUACUGUGAAGCAUCCUGUUAAGUCAGGCAACGAGCGAGACCCACGCCAACAGUUGCCAGCUCGUCCUCCGGGAUGGUGGGGACACUGUUGGGACCGCCUCUGCUAAAGAGGAGGAAGGAAUGGGCAACGGUAGGUCAGCAUGCCCCGAAUUAUCUGGGCUACACGCGGGCUACAAUGGGUGGGACAAUGGGUAUCGACACCGAAAGGUGAAGGCAAUCUCCUAAACCCAUCCGUAGUUCGGAUUGUGGGCUGCAACUCGCCCACAUGAAGCUGGAAUCUGUAGUAAUCGUGUCUCAAAAUGGCACGGUGAAUAUGUCCCUGCUCCUU
rnacentral:rRNA from 1 species